rnacentral:rRNA from 1 species
CAGUAGCCACGGGAAAACGUAGGGUGCGAGCGUUAAUCGGAAUUACUGGGCGUAAAGCGUGCGCAGGCGGUUUUGUAAGACAGGCGUGAAAUCCCCGGGCUCAACCUGGGAAUGGCGCCUGUGACUGCAAAGCUAGAGUGCGGCAGAGGGGGAUGAAUUCCACGUGUAGCGGUGAAAUGCGUAGAGAUGUGGAGGAACACCAGUGGCGAAGGCGACUCUCUGGUCUGUAACUGACACUGAGAGACGAAAGCUAGGGGAGCAAAUGGGAUUAGAUACCCCUGUAGUCCCUGUCUCUUAUACC